rnacentral:rRNA from 1 species
AAUGGAGAGAUGAGUCGGAUCGGCUCGCCCGCAGGGCGACGUGGCCGACCGAAGGUCGGACACAUGGGGGCCCGAAGUUGUGGUUGGUGAUUGGGGUG